AUUGAACGCUGGCGGCAUGCCUAACACAUGCAAGUCGAACGACACCAUCGGGUCUAGUGCCUCAUGGGUGCUUAACGAGUGGUAACCUGUCUUUCGGAUCGGAAUCACUCGGAGAAAUUUGAGCUAAUAAAGGCUGAUUUAUUCGGCCUACAUUUUUGACGUCUUAAGAUGGGCCCGCGUUGGAUUAGCUUGUUGGUGUGGUAAAUGCCUACCAAGGCGACGAUCCAUAUAUGGUCUGAGAGGAUGAGCAGCCACACUGUGACUGGGACACAGCCCAGACUCCUGCAGGAUGCAGCAAUGGGGGAUAUUGGACAAUGGGCGGAAGCCUGAUGCAGCAAUGCCGCGAGAGUGAUGAAGGCCUGAGGGUUGUAAAGCGCUUUUACCCGGGAGGAUAAUGACAGUACCGGAAGAAUAAGCACCGGCUAACUCCGUG
rnacentral:rRNA from 1 species